ACCCAAACCGCCCUACGCCGCCUUUCAUCGGGCGCUUUCGUAAACUUAAACCAAAAACCCUAACUGUGCCUUACUCGGGAGUUAUCACGCAGUCCUAGCCCCAUCGCACAGAUCUUCUCCCUCGUCGUGUUCGACUAGGUUCAGCUGUUGGAUUAAGUACUUCCCAAAACCCUCUGUUCGAGAUGAGCCGACCAAUGGAGGAAGAUGGUGCCAAGAACGAGGAAGAGGAAUUCAACACAGGGCCACUUUCUGUCCUUAUGAUGAGUGUAAAAAAUAAUACUCAGGUGCUCAUCAAUUGCCGUAACAACCGAAAGCUUCUUGGCCGUGUGAGAGCAUUUGACAGGCAUUGCAACAUGGUUCUGGAAAAUGUCAGGGAGAUGUGGACUGAGGUGCCGAGGACUGGAAAAGGCAAGAAAAAGGCCCAGCCGGUUAACAAAGACAGGUUCAUCAGCAAGAUGUUUCUCCGUGGGGACUCUGUUAUCAUCGUUCUUAGGAAUCCGAAGUGAGGUGUGAACUUAGCACACAAUUCUAAUGACUUGUAGAUGUAGUCUGCUGAAAAUUGUAGAAGUACCAUCGUCAGGAGUUUGAAUUGCUCUUCUUAGAGCAACUUUCCAGUGCUGUAUAACUUCGUUUCGAUCUGUGUGUGAAUUUCAAUUGACAGGUGUUUGGACUUCAUAAUAGUAACAUCUUGAAUUACUAUGUGCAAGCCGAGAUCCCUUUGUAGCCUGGCGGCUUUCCCCGGAGGGGUAAAAAUGUCCGGCGGCUGUUUUGCGUGUUUCGUUAUAUGAAUUUGCAUUGAUA